AGUUCAUGCUUGUGUGUCUGCCUCUCAGCUAUUCUUCAAGCUCCCAAGGUUUGGCUCAGGGUUGUAAAAUAAUAUUAAGUUCUGACAGUGUAAGAAGUGUGCCCGGAAAAAAAAUAACCAGAGCAGGAAGGAGAAGAAAAGCAUGAGAAGAGUGCAGAUGAGUUUUGCAGCUGGUUUUGCAUUAGAAGGGGAACAUUAGCAUUAGACACAGGAAAACGUCGGCUGCGGAGCCCAAGUUUCCUUCACACAAAGGUCACCAGCUCUUCACUGUGAAUAAACUCAUGUUGCAGACAGAGGGAUAGAUGAUUGAGAAUG
rnacentral:lncRNA from 1 species